rnacentral:rRNA from 1 species
GUCGAACGGUAACAUAAAGAAGCUUGCUUCUUUGAUGACGAGUGGCGGACGGGUGAGUAAUGCUUGGGAAUCUAGCUUAUGGAGGGGGAUAACUACGGGAAACUGUAGCUAAUACCGCGUAAUAUCGAAAGAUUAAAGUGUGGGACCUUCGGGCCACAUGCCAUAGGAUGAGCCCAAGUGGGAUUAGGUAGUUGGUGAGGUAAAGGCUCACCAAGCCGACGAUCUCUAGCUGGUCUGAGAGGAUGACCAGCCACACUGGGACUGAGACACGGCCCAGACUCCUACGGGAGGCAGCAGUGGGGAAUAUUGCGCAAUGGGGGCAACCCUGACGCAGCCAUGCCGCGUGAAUGAAGAAGGCCUUCGGGUUGUAAAGUUCUUUCGGUAGCGAGGAAGGCAUUUAGUUUAAUAGACUAGGUGAUUGACGUUAACUACAGAAGAAGCACCGGCUAACUCCGUGCCAGCAGCCGCGGUAAUACGGAGGGUGCGAGCGUUAAUCGGAAUAACUGGGCGUAAAGGGCACGCAGGCGGUGACUUAAGUGAGGUGUGAAAGCCCCGGGCUUAACCUGGGAAUUGCAUUUCAUACUGGGUCGCUAGAGUACUUUAGGGAGGGGUAGAAUUCCACGUGUAGCGGUGAAAUGCGUAGAGAUGUGGAGGAAUACCGAAGGCGAAGGCAGCCCCUUGGGAAUGUACUGACGCUCAUGUGCGAAAGCGUGGGGAGCAAAC